AUUCGAUUGAUGUAUUGCUCUUAUCUGUACGAUCAAAACUGAAAGUGUAAUUUAAGUUCUUUUCGGGGUUAUCAGGAGAAAAUGCCUCAUAACGCGUUAAUCGACUUCAGAGGGUUAAGAGUGAGAGGUGGUGCCCAGGGUAGAGGGAGAAGAGGAAGAGGAAGAGGAGAUUGAGAAAGAGGAGAUAGAGAAAGAGAAAGAAGAGCUGAAGAUGUAGGAAGAAGAGCUGAAGAUGUAGGAUGAAGAGCGAGAAGAGCUGAGGAUGUAGGAAGAGGAGAAGAGAUUGAAGAGAUGGAUAGAUUGGAGGGCAAUGGUAUAGUGGUAAAAGAAAAUAUAAGAAGAGGUGGACAGGGAGGAAGAGGAGGGCAAAGAGCAAGAGGAGGCCAAGGUGUAAAAGGAGGGAGGAGAGGUAGAAUGAGGGUAGGGUACAUGCGUGUUUCAAAUGAAAUCAGAGCCACACUUAUUGACCAUGUCAUAAAUCAUGGUCUCUCACUGAGAGAAGCUGGCCAGAGAGUUCAGCCCAAUAUAAACAGAUCCACAGUGGCUUCAAUUAUCCGUACACUUCAGAGGGAAAACCGAAUUGAAGUUAGAGAACAUUCAGGUGGACGAACAAGGCUUUUUUCACUUGAACAAGAGCAUGCCAUUGUUCACAUGGUGGUCCAGAACAACACCCUCCGCCUCAAAGAAAUUCAGCAAAGAAUAACACAGGACAAUCAACUGUUCCACAAUAUCCACCAAUGCAGUCUCUCCACAAUUGACCGUGUUCUAAGAAGAAAUGCUAUCUGAAUGAAGCAAGUAUACAAAGUGCCCUUUGAGAGGAACUCCGUUAGAGUGAAGGAGUUGCAAUUCCAGUUUGUUCAAGUAUGUGCAACCCAAUUACUGCAAUUUUACUGUCAACUCAAAGAUAUAUUUUUCCUGAAUUUUAAGUAUGUGUCCAUAAACUAUUCCAUGCUACUAUAUGUGAAAUGAUUUAGGCAUAUCUAUUGUGACGGGACGAGCCAACGACAGACACAGUGGGUGUGGCGUCAGGCCUCGGAGAGGUUUUUAUUUAACAGAAAAACCAAAAUAAGGGGGAAUAAAGUGUCCAAAAGGGGAAGAGUGUCCAAAACAGGGAAUCUGGUGUCCUCGUCGUGCUGCGGGGUUCGUGGGGGUCUGGCAGUGUUCACGGAGGGAAGGGUCCAGGUAAGGGGCGGAGUCCGGUGGCCGCACGCGCUCCCCUCUUGGGUCCGGGGCGCGAGGGGCGGCGGCUCCUUCUAGCGGCCGCAUCCUUCUCUUUUGGCCGCGGCACCUUCAGGGGAUGGACGGCCUGGCAUUCUGGCCUGAUGGCCGUGUACACGGGUGCGGUCCUCAUCCGGACCGCGGGUCCGGCAGCUCACGUCUCCGGUAGCGCUGGAGUCCCUCAACGCACCCUUCCUGGACCCACGAGGACACCAGUGUGCAUGCACGGGGAAGAGACCGGUCUCCCGAGGAGAGGCGCGUUGGGCUUUUAAACAGCGGCGGUGAUGAGGCUCCAUUUCCUUCAGAGAAUAUUGGAGUUGGAUAGCAGUGCAACUCAUUAUGAGUACCUGUAUAUUGAUGAAGCAGGCUUCAAUCUUAAAAAAAAAAAGGAGAAGAGGGAGAAAUGUGAUUGGCCAUCGUGCUACAGUCAAUGUCCCUGGACAACGAGGAGGCAACAUCACAUUCUGUGCAGAAAUUUCUACAACUGGUGUUGUGGCACACAAUGCUUUCUUGGGACCAUACAACACAGCAAGGCUCCUACAUUUUUUAAACCUCCUCAAUGAAAUCCUCUUUCCGCAGGGUGAUCAGGAGCAAAUGGUGCGGAAUUUUGUAGUUGUUUGGGACAAUGUCCAAUUCCACCAUUCAGCACUAGUGCGAGAGUGGUUUGAGAAUCACCCACAAUUCAGGAUGGUGUUUCUUCCACCAUAUUCUCCUUUCCUGAAUCCAGUUGAGGAAUUCUUCUCCUCUUUGAGAUGGAAAGUACAUGAUCGCAACCCUUACAACCAAGUAAGCGAUGGAAGAGGCCUGUGGAGAUAUUGGGGCACAAGCAUGUCAAGGAUGGAAACAGCAUUAAAGGCGUUUUUUCCCACGAUGCAUGACUCAUGAAAAUAUUUUCUGUGAUGUUGAUGAAAUUGUCUGGCCAGAUGUAAUUGAGAGGCAUGAUCAAUAAAAUAAUUGAUUCAAUGAAUGCAGUACAUUUAUCACUUUAUUUUUUAUUUACCUAUGUACUUAUUUGCAUUAUAUAUAUAUAUGUGUUUGUUUUGACAACUUAUUGUUAUACACCUGAA
ensembl:lncRNA